GGAAGGAUCAUUAACACGUAUCCAACGUUAAACCCCCCUGUGAACUUUUAUACUUGCUCUCGUAGCCCGCCGGAAUUGCAAUCCCUGGUAAAUCAUUGUUGAACAGAUUUUGAUUCAGGGACCUCAGUUUGGUGAGAAGUUACAGUUACGAUUGAGCGAUCGUUGCAAGUGGCCUGGUUUCCCCAAGCAGUCAGUGUCUGAAAGUGUCAUUGAUUGUGUAAGGAUAACGCUUUUCGAUCACCAGAGGCCGAACACCGGCCGGUGACCAGGUCGCCGUGGCUUCGGCCCCCUAUAUUCACCCCACUACCUGAUUCCGCCUCGUAGGAAACUGCUGGGCAACAAAACGAACAACUGUUAACAAUGGAUAUCUUGGUUCUCGCAACGAUGAAGAACGCAGCGAAAUGCGAUACGUAAUGCGAAUUGCAGAAUUCAGUGAAUCAUCGAAUCUUUGAACGCAAAUUGCGCUCUCGGGUUACCCCCAAGAGCACACCUCUCUGAGUGUCGGUUUAACCAAAUGUCACCAAUUUAUUGGUGUACGACAGACUGAGGGUAAGGGGUUUCGGCCUCUUUCCCUUUAAAUCUCAGCCUCACGACUGUGUGUGUUCGUGGCAAGUUGCUUUCACUUAACUGUGAAUCCAAUCCACAAACCCUACGUUGUGUAGCCAAAAGAAACAAAUGAACAAAGGUGUGAACCGAGAAACACGUUUCUGCAGCAAUGUGGGAGUGUGGGUUUUGGUGAACGGCUUUGCGCAUCUAUGAAUUAGACCUCAGAUGAAGUGGGAAGACCCCCUGAAUUUAAGCAUAUUAUUAAGGGGAGGAAAAGAAACUAACAAGGAUUCCCCUAGUAACGGCGAGUGAAGCGGGAAGAGCUCAAAUUUAAAAUCCAUUGGUCUAACAGCCCGUGGAGUUGUAAUCUAGAGUGGCUCUCUCAGUGCCAGCCUGGUUAUAAGUCCCUUGAAACGGGGCAUCAAAGAGGGUGAGAAUCCCGUAUUUGAGCCGGAGCUAAGUACGUACGAGGAGUUUACUAAGAGUCGCGUUGCUUGGGAGUGCAGCGCUAAUUGGGUGGUAAAGUUCAUCUAAAGCUAAAUACUGGCGAGAGACCGAUAGCGAACAAGUACCGUGAGGGAAAGAUGAAAAGAACUUUGAAAAGAGAGUUAAAAAGUACUUGAAAUUGUUAACAGGGAAGGGGAGUCAACCAGUCAUUUCUAAGCUUCAUUCGCUUUUCCUUCGGGAGGGGUUACUUGAGGCUAAGAAGGGUCAGCAUCACUUAGGAUCUUCGCAGAAACUGUAUGAGUUGGUGCGUUUCUUCGGAUUCGUUUAACUUGUGCAAUCUACGUUGGUGCUGGGUGAGGAGUGAAAACCCCCCGCCUUCGGGUGUCGGUACUUUGAGGUCUGUUUGCCCUAGCGCGUGAGAGAACAAAGUUCUGUCUGUGCGAAAGGUGAAUACUGCUUUGGAUGUACUAGAUGGUGGGUUCGCGAUGCAGACGAAAUGGUUGUCUUCCACCCGUCUUGAAACACGGACCAAGGAGUCUAACAUAUAUGCGAGUAUUUGGGUGACAAACCCUGAUGCGUAAUGAAAGUAAAGAGCUGCAAAGCUUGAGGUAGGAAUCUCUCCUUCGGGGGGGAGGCACUAUCGACCGAUCGUUCGCUUGCGGAAGAUUUGAGUAAUAGCAUAUCUGUUGGGACCCGAAAGAUGGUGAUCUAUGCCUGAACAGGGUGAAGCCAGGGGAAACUCUGGUGGAAGCUCGUAGCGAUACUGACGUGCAAAUCGUUCGUCUGAUUUGGGUAUAGGGGCGAAAGACUAAUCGAACCAUCUAGUAGCUGGUUCCCUC
rnacentral:misc_RNA from 1 species